rnacentral:rRNA from 1 species
ACUCAAAUGAAUUGACGGGGGCCCGCACAAGCGGUGGAGCAUGUGGUUUAAUUCGACGCAACGCGAAGAACCUUACCUGGGUUUGAACUUCAGGCGACAGCCCUCGAAAGAGGGUCUCCCUUCGGGGCGCCUGGAGAGGUGCUGCAUGGCUGUCGUCAGCUCGUGUCGUGAGAUGUUGGGUUAAGUCCCGUAACGAGCGCAACCCCUACCCUUAGUUGCCAGCGCGUCAUGGCGGGAACUCUAAGGGAACCGCCGGUGAUAAACCGGAGGAAGGUGGGGAUGACGUCAAGUCCUCAUGGCCUUUAUGCCCAGGGCCACACACGUGCUACAAUGGUCGGUACAAAGGGUUGCCAAGCCGUAAGGUGGAGCUAAUCCCAAAAAGCCGAUCUCAGUUCGGAUUGGGGGCUGCAACUCGCCCCUAUGAAGGUGGAAUCGCUAGUAAUCACGGAUCAGCACGCCGUGGUGAAUACGUUCCCGGGCCUUGUACACACCGCCCGU